rnacentral:rRNA from 1 species
UACGGAAGGCAGCAGUGGGGAAUAUUGCACAAUGGGCGCAAGCCUGAUGCAGCCAUGCCGCGUGUAUGAAGAAGGCCUUCGGGUUGUAAAGUACUUUCAGCGGGGAGGAAGGCGAUGUGGUUAAUAACCGCGUCGAUUGACGUUACCCGCAGAAGAAGCACCGGCUAACUCCGUGCCAGCAGCCGCGGUAAUACGGAGGGUGCAAGCGUUAAUCGGAAUUACUGGGCGUAAAGCGCACGCAGGCGGUCUGUUAAGUCAGAUGUGAAAUCCCCCGGGCUUAACCUGGGAACUGCAUUUUGAAACUGGCAGGCUUGAGUCUCGUAGAGGGGGUAGAAUUCCAGGUGUAGCGGUGAAAUGCGUAGAGAUCUGGAGGAAUACCGGUGGCGAAGGCGGCCCCUGGACGAAGACUGACGCUCAGGUGCGAAAGCGUGGGGAGCGAAACAGGAUUAGGAUACC